UCUUUAAAUUUAAAGGAUUUUGCGGUAUUUUAGCCUAUUUAGAGGAACUUGUUCUAUAAAUGAUACACCACGUAGUAUCUUACUUUAUUUUGUAUUUUAGUUUGUAUACCGCCAUAAUUGGUUUCACUUAAAAGUAAAUACCAAAAUAAUUUUUUUAAUUAAAACAUUAGGUCAAGGUGCAGCUUAUAAUAAAGUAGUUAUGAGUUACAAUAUAAUUUAUAUAGAUGAAAAGAAAUGUGAAAGUUAUUCUGGAAGGUGGAUUUAAUAGUAAUUUUAACAUUAACAUGGUAGAUUGAAGCUGCUCUAAAAAUUGUACACAUAG
rnacentral:rRNA from 1 species